GAUGAACGCUGGCGGCGUGCCUAAUACAUGCAAGUCGAGCGAACAGACGAGGAGCUUGCUCCUCUGACGUUAGCGGCGGACGGGUGAGUAACACGUGGAUAACCUACCUAUAAGACUGGGAUAACUUCGGGAAACCGGAGCUAAUACCGGAUAAUAUAUUGAACCGCAUGGUUCAAUAGUGAAAGACGGUUUUGCUGUCACUUAUAGAUGGAUCCGCGCCGCAUUAGCUAGUUGGUAAGGUAACGGCUUACCAAGGGGACGAUGCGUAGCCGACCUGAGAGGGUGAUCGGCCACACUGGAACGGAGACACGGUCCAGACUCCUACGGGAGGCAGCAGUAGGGAAUCUUCCGCAAUGGGCGAAAGCCUGACGGAGCAACGCCGCGUGAGUGAUGAAGGUCUUCGGAUCGUAAAACUCUGUUAUUAGGGAAGAACAAAUGUGUAAGUAACUAUGCACGUCUUGACGGUACCUAAUCAGAAAGCCACGGCUAACUACGUG
rnacentral:rRNA from 1 species